AGGACGAACGCUGGCGGCGUGCUUAACACAUGCAAGUCGAGCGGAAAGGCCCUUCGGGGUACUCGAGCGGCGAACGGGUGAGUAACACGUGAGCAACCUGCCCUUAGCUCCGGGAUAGCUCCGGAAAACCGGAAUUAAUACCGGAUACGACCACGGCCGACAUCUGCUGUGGUGGAAAGGAUUCCGGCUAAGGAUGGGCUCGCGGCCUAUCAGCUAGUUGGUGGAGUAACGGCCCACCAAGGCGACGACGGGUAGCCGGCCUGAGAGGGCGACCGGCCACACUGGGACUGAGACACGGCCCAGACUCCUACGGGAGGCAGCAGUGGGGAAUAUUGCGCAAUGGGCGAAAGCCUGACGCAGCGACGCCGCGUGGGGGAUGAAGGCCUUCGGGUUGUAAACCCCUUUCAGCAGGGACGAAGCGAAAGUGACGGUACCUGCAGAAGAAGCGCCGGCUAACUACGCGCCAGCAGCCGC
rnacentral:rRNA from 1 species